rnacentral:rRNA from 1 species
ACAGCAGCAGCCGCGGUAAUACGUAGGUGGCAAGCGUUGUCCGGAAUUAUUGGGCGUAAAGGGCUCGCAGGCGGUCUCUUAAGUCUGAUGUGAAAGCCCCCGGCUCAACCGGGGAGGGUCAUUGGAAACUGGGAAACUUGAGUGCAGAAGAGGAGAGUGGAAUUCCACGUGUAGCGGUGAAAUGCGUAGAGAUGUGGAGGAACACCAGUGGCGAAGGCGACUCUCUGGUCUGUAACUGACGCUGAGGAGCGAAAGCGUGGGGAGCGAACAGGAUUAGAUACCCGGGUAGUCCCUGUCUCUUAUAU